GCCCGUCCGGACUUCAAAUCCAUCUGCCGGCAGCU
rnacentral:tRNA from 13 species